CUGAGAGAACAGGAGAGAGAGAGGUCUGAGAGAACAGGAGAGAGAGAAGUCUGAGAGAACAGGAGAGAGAGAGGUCUGAGAGAACAGGAGAGAGAGGUCUGAGAGAACAGAGGAGAGAGAGGUCUGAGAGAACAGGGGAGAGAGAGAGGUCUGAGAGAACAGGAGAGAGAAGGGUCUGAGAGAACAGGAGAGAGAAGGGUCUGAGAGAACAGGAGAGAGAAGGGUCUGAGAGAACAGGAGAGAGAAGGGUCUGAGAGAACAGGAGAGAGAAGGGUCUGAGAGAACAGGAGAGAGAGAGGUCUGAGAGAACAGGGGAGAGAGAGGUCUGAGAGAACAGGGGAGAGCGAGAGAGAGAGAGAGUUAUAGUGGAGAGGCACGAUCACAGACUUCCACACCAACACUUAAAUAUGGAGCCACUUGCUUUAGGUCUGAAAAUAUAUUUUUGGCCUCAUAUCAAUGUACGUAUCACAAUUUUAAUGAGUAAAGAAAACAGUAUAAAAUAUAUAAUAUUUACAAAUAAUCUCCAUACUGUAGUCUAACCCCACAACAUCUUCCCAUUGCUGAAAAUGACUUGUUCAAGACCAAGCUAUGCUCUUCCCCCCUCAAAAGUCAACUUUUCAACAACCAAUCAAAAUGCUCAUUCUGGUUGCAGAGGGUGCUUUCCUUCCACCACAUUGGUCUGUGAUAGACUAAACGAUGAUCUGGGGAGUGGGUCCCUUGCCUGUGAACACUGCAAAGCUGAAACUGGAAGAAUGUAUGAACGCACACAAUCUGAGUGGAGUUGACAGAGGCAGGACCAACCACAGAGACAAACAAAAGAUCUAUAGAGUGAUCAAACCAACAGAGAGAGCAGACAGUCGAGAGUAAGAAAGAAAGGAGAAGGGAGGAAGACCUGAAAGGGAACUUUGUGAGGGUGACGGAGGAGGAGUGGUGGAGGAGGAGGGUGGAGAGGAGGCCGGUGGGGGGUGUAUAUGUGACCCAGCGACCAACGGCUAGAGGGGUACAUGAUGACCUAUAGGGGGAGGAACAUAGAGGUCACAGAGAGGUCAAAGGGGGCCUGCUCGGCAACAGCACGGCAACAACACUGAAACCGUAUGGUAACAGUUUGGUAACGCCAUAGUAACACCACUGCAACGAUGGUAGAACACCAGGGACACACCAAAGGAACAUUUCAUUUUGGCAAAAGAACACACAUACAUACACACAAGGAUGUGGUAGAGAAAGGAGGACAAGACAGAGGAAGAUUUUAAAACUAAGCCGUAUCUGUCCUACCAGGAGGAGAGUAGGAGAGGAGGAGGAGAGAAGCAGAUAAGGAGGAGGAGGAGAGGAGGAAAGGAGAGAAGAAGAGGAGAGGAGAAGGAGAGGAGGAGGUGGAGAGGAGCAGGAGGAAAGGAGAGAGGAGGAGAGGAGGAGAAGAGAGGAGGAGAGGAGGAGAAGAGAAGGACAUAAGGAGGAGAGAAGGAGAAGAGGAGAGGAGGUGGAGAGGAGGAAAGGAAAGAGGAGGUGGAGAGUAGGAGGAGAGAAGGAGGAGGAGAGAAGGAGUAGUGGAGGUGGAGAGGAGGAAAGGAGAGAGAAGGAGGAGAGGUGGAGAGGAGGAGGGGGAAAGGAGACGAGGAGGGGGAAAGGAGAGAGGAGGUGGAGAGGAGGAGGAGGAAAGGAGAGAGGAGGAGGAGAGGAGUACAGAAGGAGAGGAGGAGGAGGAACAGUAAUCCAUGGGUUUACACAGACAUAGAAGUGCUGCAAAAUAAUGACUGAACAGCUGCUGGAGGGAAUAUUAAGUGAAUCCUGCAGCAUGCUUCACUGUAGUUCCCUCCGCAGCACUACACAAGCCAUUAACUACAUUACCCACACACACAACACAAACACAUGCGCACACACACAUGCAGGCAUAUGCUCAAAAGCACACACAGACACGUGCACACAGACACACUUUCAGGGCAGGCGGUUAAUGUAACAGCAGCGGAGUCAUGCCAUUGUCCAUCAUCUCUGUGACAUGAACACACACACAAACAAACACACACACAGAUGAGAGAGGGAAAGAAAACCUAAUCUCCAACCCACUAGAUAGCAGCACUACUAUGACUACAUAUAUUAUAUGACCUCCAACAGCACAGAGAGAGAGACAAACAUGUCCCCCGACUCAC